AACUGCCUGACUCUAGAGGGAAUCUCCACCUGCCUCUGGAUGAUAUUUUAGGAUUAGAAGCAGGAUUAAAGACUGAAAGAGUUUCUGCUGAUUCAUAUGAAAGCCAAAGGAAAAAAAAAAGAAGCACUCAUUGGAUUUGUCUAUUAUCUCCGUUGACAACUUGCAUUUACAAGAUUUCCUUGCCUUCUCUCCAAACCUAUCACUGGAUUGAAUGACAGUUCUUCACUUUGUGGCAGCAACACACUGUAACCAGGAAUGUUUCAGCCUUCGCAAGACCGAACACCUUGGCACCUAUCUCAAUCCAAAAUGAGGUAAGUUCAAUUAUUUCUUCUGUAAGGGGAUUCAAAUUCACAUCUCCCACAUUUUCGCCUAAAUGCCAGAAAAUAGAUUAUUACAG